UACUCGAGUGGCGAACGGGUGAGUAACACGUGGGUGAUCUGCCCUGCACUGUGGGAUAAGCCUGGGAAACUGGGUCUAAUACCGAAUAUGACCACGCGCUUCAUGGUGUGUGGUGGAAAGCUUUUGCGGUGUGGGAUGGGCCCGCGGCCUAUCAGCUUGUUGGUGGGGUAAUGGCCUACCAAGGCGACGACGGGUAGCCGGCCUGAGAGGGUGACCGGCCACACUGGGACUGAGAUACGGCCCAGACUCCUACGGGAGGCAGCAGUGGGGAAUAUUGCACAAUGGGCGCAAGCCUGAUGCAGCGACGCCGCGUGAGGGAUGACGGCCUUCGGGUUGUAAACCUCUUUCAAUAGGGACGAAGCGCAAGUGACGGUACCUAUAGAAGAAGGACCGGCCAACUACGUGCCAGCAGCCGCGGUAAUACGUAGGGUCCGAGCGUUGUCCGGAAUUACUGGGCGUAAAGAGCUCGUAGGUGGUUUGUCGCGUUGUUCGUGAAAACUCACAGCUUAACUGUGGGCGUGCGGGCGAUACGGGCAGACUAGAGUACUGCAGGGGAGACUGGAAUUCCUGGUGUAGCGGUGGAAUGCGCAGAUAUCAGGAGGAACACCGGUGGCGAAGGCGGGUCUCUGGGCAGUAACUGACGCUGAGGAGCGAAAGCGUGGGGAGCGAACAGGAUUAGAUACCCUGGUAGUCCACGCCGUAAACGGUGGGUACUAGGUGUGGGUUUCCUUCCUUGGGAUCCGUGCCGUAGCUAACGCAUUAAGUACCCCGCCUGGGGAGUACGGCCGCAAGGCUAAAACUCAAAGGAAUUGACGGGGGCC
rnacentral:rRNA from 1 species